CCUACGGGAGGCAGCAGUGGGGAAUAUUUGGCAAUGGGCGCAAGCCUGACCCAGCAACGCCGCGUGAAGGAAGAAGGCUUUCGGGUUGUAAACUUCUUUUUUCAGGGAACAGUAGAAGACGGUACCUGACGAAUAAGCCACGGCUAACUACGUACCAGCAUCCGCCGUAAUUCGUAGGUGGCAAGCGUUGUCUGGAUUUACUGGGUGUAAAGGGCGUGUAGACGGGUUGACAAGUCAGCUGUGAAAUCCUGCGGCUGAACCGCAGAACUGCAUUUGACACUGUAGAUCUUGAGUACUGGAGAGGCAGACGGAAUUCGUGGUGUAGCGGUGAAAUGCGUAGAUAUUAGGAGGAACACCAGUUGCGAAGGCGGUCUGCUGGACAGCAACUGAAGGUGAGGCGCGAAAGCGUGGGGAGCAAACAGGAUUAGAUACCCGAGUAGUC
rnacentral:rRNA from 1 species